UCAUUUGAUUUAUUCAGCAAUACUUAUCACUAUGAUGCAUUUUUCUCUUACCUAUGGAAAAGAAAUAACAUCUAAUGGAAUUGCAGAAGAUGAAAGAAUGGAAAUUAGAACAUUGCUUGAGCUUUCCAAGCCAACUUAUUGAGGAGGUACAUCAGUUUUGAUAUUUGAUUGUUGUGCCACUCUACUUUAUUUUGAAAAUCAUACUUUAUUGCAAUCUUAAUAUGAGAGAUGAUGCAAGUUUCUUUAUGUGUACACAUUAUAAGUCUAGGAAUAGCUUACAGGACUGCAGAGGAAGCAGAAGUUGUUGUUGCACAGCUUUCAUUUAUGACACUGCCAAUAGUUGCUUUUCGAAAAGUAAACUCCGUUGUUAACUAAGUUCUCCACUUGGAUCUUUUGAAAUGUAUUUAUUAUCGGAUGCCUUUAUUCAUACGAAUGGUUACCUUGUUAACCAUUUUUAUUAUCUAUCUGCCCUGUGCAUUUCUUGAUUCGAAGAAUUGUCUGUUAUGUUAGGGAUAUUCGUAGCUUGAAUUGGGUGGAUGGCCUGUUAACAAAAAGAUAACCAGUAGUUUCUGGAGGAAUUUAUUUUUUAUUCUAAUAUUUAGUACUCUCUGGAAGGGUUUGUGACAGUUUGCAAGAGCUUUCUGCUGCUAUUACUGCUAUUUGUAUUUUAUGCUUCAUCUAUGAAGCUUCCAGAAACCAGGACAGUAUAUCUUGUGAUUCAAACUGAAUUUGUUCCUAAUAUUUGAAGUUUCAGAAAAAAAGGAAGAAGCAUUUACUUCUCUUUCCAUAUUCAUCCUUAUCAGAGUAUCAAUAAUUCAUCCUUAAGGGGGAUGUGCAAAAACCUUAAAAGACAGUUAAAAUGAAUCGAAUAUGUAGUUUUGCCAGUUUUCAUUUUGCAAAUUGGCACGGUAAUUGACAGUCGACGAUGCCAUUCUUGCACCACUCUUAUGGAUUUUAUACUCCCAGUAAGUGACAUUUUUUUGGUUCUCUUUGUUCGUUUUGGCCCAGAGUAAUACCAGCAGUUACAAGAAUUUCUUGCAAUAACUGGCACAACAUUAAGAACUUUGCUUGUCUGAAUCUAACAUUCUUCUCAAGUUGUAGAAAUUGAAGGAGAAGUCUUCUUCUGCCUUCUUUACUCUUGAUCCAAAUUGAUGUUAAAGCAACUUUUCAGGCUAACAGUUGUUCUUUCUCUUGAGAUUAACAUGAAUGGAAAUUUCGUGCAGCUGGAAGACUAUCAAAAAAUUACUUUUGUGCCGUAAAUUGACAAUUCUUACAAUUUCAGGCAAGUUCUUUUGUACCAGUGAUCAUUCAACUAUUUCCUCGGACUUGGAAGUUGAAAUUUUCAACUUCUUCUAAGAUCAAGCAAAGGUGAAAAGCUUAAGAUGUUCUGUUUCUUUGAUAAAAAAUAAACUCGAAAUCUUUUUGAGAUUUUGGUGUCAUUACCUUUGCUUUUUCUGCUUAUUCAUCUAAGCAUCCUUCAUUUAGAAGAAUUUUUUUUUUUUCUGUUGUAGAACAUUGCUUCAAACAACAAGCACUUCAAUAUUUGGUGGACACUAGUACUGCUUUAUCAAUUGUUAACCUUGUUUUGUUUCAUACUCUCGGUAGUGUCUUUUUUUGUGUCUAAAAAGGCUUUACUAAUACUUUUGUGUCUUCCAAGUAAACGAGUUUAAGUACAUUGAGAAAAAUGAGAUUUCCGCUUGCUGCUUUACAGCUGAAUCCAAAAGGUUGCAUUUUACCUAGUUCUUUUCAGUAAAAAAGUGAAUAUUUAUCCCACGUAGUGUAUGGAGUACCUUCUUCAACUCUAUUUAUUAAUAGUAAUUUAUUUUUUGGCAGAGCAUCUGCAACUUUAUCCUCUAUGCUGUUUAAUUCUGCUUCUUUUUUGAAUCUAAAUUAGAUUGCUUACAGAAGUUUCUAACUAUAGUCCAAGAGGAAGCUGCAGAUGUUCGCAAAACGAAAGAACCUUAGUGUACCUGUGUUACCAUAGUAAAAGGAUUAGCCCAUAUCAUGAUCUUCAUUCGAGGCGACAGUGACAGUUGCUGGUGAGUUGCUUAAAAGUCCUGGAGCAUAUAAGACAGCAGAGGAAGCAGAAGAGGCUGUUGCACACCUAGCACUAAUGACACUGGUUUGCAGCCAAACGACUAGAAAUUGAGGUUGUUUCAUCAUCCGUCUCAUCAUCUAACAAUUCACUUUCAGAUUCACUGAAAAUCCUUCUGAAACCUUUGCCAUUUGUUCUGCGAAGUCGACCUUUGUCCACUGAUCUUCAGAAUUCUUGUUCUGGUCAGUUGAACCCUCAGCUGGUCCUUCUUGAAACUGGUGUGCAUAUGAAAUCAAUACAUAGCACAAGAUAGAGAAUAACCUUUCAAGGUUAGCAAUGAAAAUUAUAAAGAAAAUAACAAUAUUCGUCGUGAAGUGGAUAUAUA